CUUUUCUUCGACUCCCUGCCUGUGAGGGCCUCUGUCCUGGUGAGGGGGCGGGGGUCCUUAGGUGCUUAGUCCCUCCCCCCUGCGCUGCGGAAAGAAGCCCAGGUCUAAAAAAAUAGGGGAGAGAGGAGCGUAUUUUUUUGGCCUGCCCUUUCCCUCCUAGGGCCGUUUCAUGUAGCCUUGUUUUUCUAUUCUGGCCCAAUGGCCAGGAAAAUUCUUUUUCUCCCUGAAGAAAUUCUGAAAGACAGCAGGGAGCUCGGUUCUGUUUCAAAAGCUGGUGGGAAAUAUCUCCUGAGGGCCCGUUAUGUGCCAGGCACGGACUGGACACUGGGGCUGCAGCGAUGGACACAGGCCCAGGUCCCUCCCUCGUGGUGGUGGCUUUGAGUGGGUGGGACGAGGGUCAGAGAGAGAAGCUGUGUGGCCCCAGGCUUGCUCUCUGAAGGGGAGUCCUCUUCCUCUGCAUCCUUGGUACGUGUGCCCAGCUGCCAGCUCCUCCAAGGGGCGUGAACAUCUGGGAAAACGGUCAUUUCCAGAAGCUUUCCUGACCUGGCUCCUUCACCCCUCUGAUGUCUCAUGCCCUGCAGACCCUGCCCUCUGCCUACCCGGAUGGAGGCUGUCCCCGAACAGCAGCUGUCCAUGCCACAGCUCCGGGAGCUAGAGAAACCUCCAAGCUCUGUCCCACGGUGUCCCUGUGACUCCCUGGAGAGGUCCCGGCGGCACCGGAUCUGCCUUCAUCUCCCUCUGGCUUGUGCUGGUUUGCAGCCCUGCCUUGCUUCUGCGGCUGGUGGUCCCUGGAUGGUGGUGCUCUCUCUCCACACCCUCGGCAUCCCUUCUCCUCCCAACUCAUCCCACUCCGGGUUCUUCCAGGGCUCAGGCUGAAUUUUUGUCCUUCUCUGGAGGCACAGCUACAAGGGAAAGUUCCUUCAUGACAGGAGAAUCCGGCUGCCGUUCGGGUAUGGAUUUCCCAGCCUGAGACGCUCUCCCCUCCUCACCUGCCUGAUCCCACUCAUCCUUCAGGCUUGGCUGCAAGGUCAUGUAACCAGAGACUCUCCCUGACCUUAGUUCUAAACGAUGGUUCCUUGUUACCCGCUCUGUACGCACUGUGAAACAAUUUCUGUCAUUGCUGCUACCGCAGUUUUUAAUUAUAUAUUGAUUUGUUUAGUUUUUCCCUCCGUAUUAGUCUGUAAGCUUUAUGAAGGCAGGCGCUGAGUGUCUUUUUGCCCACGAUCGUAUGCCUGGAGUCUAGCCCCAUGCCUGGUGUGCAGCAGAUGCUCAGGAGAUGGUAUGGAAUGAAUGAGUUGUGUCCAUCUGGUGGCUGGAUGAUCUCAGAGCCGGUUGGGCAUUUACCCAGUGGCCUGGGGAUAGGUAAACUAUGGGAUCGCUCUCUCUUUUUCAGAAGGAAAGGGAAGGCAGAAAAUGGGGAGUGAGGAGCCAUGAAAAAGAAUGAAAUAAUGCCAUUUGCAGCAACAUGGAUGGACCUAGAGAUGAUCAUACUGAGUGAAAUAAGUCAGACAGAGAAAGACAAAUAUCUGAGGAAUCUAAAAAAAAUAAUACAGGGCUUUUCUGGUGGUGCAGUGGUUGGGAAUCUGCCUGCCAAUGCAGGGGACAUGGGUUCGAGCCCUGGUCUGGGAAGAUCCCACAUGCCGCGGAGCAACUGGGCCCGUGAGCCACAACUACCGAGCCUGCGCGUCUGGAGCCUGGGCUCCACAACGGGAGAGGCCGCGACAGUGAGAGGCCCGCGCACCGCGAUGAAGAGUGGUCCCCGCUCGCCGCAACUGGAGAAAGCCUUCGCACAGAAACGAAGACCCAAC